GGGGUUGUGGCUCAGCGGUAGAGCGCUUGUCUUGCACACACGAGACCCUGAGUUCAAUCCUCAGCACCA
rfam:Ictidomys tridecemlineatus contig058606, whole genome shotgun sequence.